rnacentral:rRNA from 1 species
GACGAACGCUGGCGGCGUGCUUAACACAUGCAAGUCGAACGGAAAGGCCCUGCUUUUGUGGGGUGCUCGAGUGGCGAACGGGUGAGUAACACGUGAGUAACCUGCCCUUGACUUUGGGAUAACUUCAGGAAACUGGGGCUAAUACCGGAUAGGAGCUCCUGCUGCAUGGUGGGGGUUGGAAAGUUUCGGCGGCUGGGGAUGGACUCGCGGCUUAUCAGCUUGUUGGUGGGGUAGUGGCUUACCAAGGCCUUGACGGGUAGCCGGCCUGAGAGGGUGACCGGCCACAUUGGGACUGAGAUACGGCCCAGACUCCUACGGGAGGCAGCAGUGGGAAAUAUUGCACAAUGGGCGGAAGCCUGAUGCAGCAACGCAGCGUGCGGGAUGACGGCCUUCGGGUUGUAAACCGCUUUCGCCUGUGACGAAGCGUGAGUGACGGUAAUGGGUAAAGAAGCACCGGCUAACUACGUG